rnacentral:rRNA from 1 species
AGUGAACGCUGGCGGUAGGCCUAACACAUGCAAGUCGAACGGCAGCACAGUAAGAGCUUGCUCUUACGGGUGGCGAGUGGCGGACGGGUGAGGAAUACAUCGGAAUCUACUUUUUCGUGGGGGAUAACGUAGGGAAACUUACGCUAAUACCGCAUACGACCUACGGGUGAAAGCAGGGGAUCUUCGGACCUUGCGCGAUUGAAUGAGCCGAUGUCGGAUUAGCUAGUUGGCGGGGUAAAGGCCCACCAAGGCGACGAUCCGUAGCUGGUCUGAGAGGAUGAUCAGCCACACUGGAACUGAGACACGGUCCGGACUCCUACGGGAGGCAGCAGUGGGGAAUAUUGGACAAUGGGCGCAAGCCUGAUCCAGCCAUACCGUGUGGGUGAAGAAGGCCUUCGGGUUGUAAAGCCCUUUUGUUGGGAAAGAAAAGCAGCAGGUUAAUACCCCGCUGUUCUGACGGUACCCAAAGAAUAAGCACCGGCUAACUUCGUG